rnacentral:rRNA from 1 species
UACAGAGGGUGCGAGCGUUGUUCGGAAUUAUUGGGCGUAAAGGGCGCGUAGGCGGCGCGGUAUGUCACCUGUGAAAUCUCCUGGCUCAACUGGGAGCUUGCAGGCGAAACUGCCGUGCUGGAGUGUGGGAGAGGUGCGUGGAAUUCCCGGUGUAGAGGUGAAAUUCGUAGAUAUCGGGAGGGAACACCAGUGGCGAAGGCGGCGACCUGGGCCGAUAUUGACGCUGAGGAGCGGAAAGCGUGGGGAGCGAACAGG